AUGAGAACAAAGACUAUUACACCUGUGUGGACCUUUCUUCUGGAGCUUGAAGAGGGUGAAGUGUAUUACCCUGCAGCCACAGAGUGGGCUGGUGUAUGUGGAACAUACAGAUAUCAGACAUUUCUGCUGGGUUCCUCUGACACCCACGGCAACCGAGAUGGAUGUUGAGAUGAGGCCACCUACUACUGGUCUGAAGUUUGUGAAGCAAUGGCGUUCCCUAAUGGGAUGAAAGCUAAUGAAGCUCUGUGCUACAGCUUCUGCUUCUGCUUCAAGGAACAACUGAUGAAGGACUGUGGAAGGAGUUCAUGAUGAGGCCAUCUUCCUGGGGUAAGGAGUGCAUUUAGCUGGGGCAUGAGGCGCAGAACUGGUGCCUGAUCAUCACAGCAGAAUUACAGCAGUUCUACCACGUCUAGGAAUGUGAGACACAGAGCGCAAGAGAACCUCAUCUUCCUCAUUUUUUUCC
rnacentral:lncRNA from 1 species